GCAUAUUUUUUAUGGUAGUGAUAGAACGUGAGAGAGGCAAUAUUGGUAUCAUAAAGGGCAGAUGACAAAUGCUUCAUUGGCAGAGUGGGACUUUCACACUUAUGAAAUCAUAGAAUAAUUUUAUUCAGAUAGAGGCCUUCUAUCCAAAAGCAGGUGGAACAGAGGGCAAGAGAAAGCAAGAUACAGCAAGAAAUCGUGAACUUCAAGUUUUCAGGAUAGCAAAUCUAAUUUGGGUAAUUACUUAAACUUGGAAGAAAAAAAAACUAAGUAAAUCCAGGAUGCCUUUGUAUAAAUAAUAAAAUUAAGAGAGAUUACUGAGAAAAAUAUUCAGUCUUUGAGGUGUGAUGUGUUGUGAACUAACCUUCUGUGUCGCUUUUUAAACAGGAAAAGGAAGGAUACUCUGUCAUGUAAUGUUACUGUUACAUAUUGAUUCAACAGUGGCAUAUCUCAUUUCUAAUGAUCUUCUGGAUAUCCUUGGUGACAAAAUUGAUCAGUAGUUACAGGAGACAGUUUCUGACGGAUCCUGCAGUCAGAGUGCUGGUAUCAUGUCACAGCCCAUGAGAUACGCAGUGAGUCGAUUUGAUGUUGAUAUAACAGUUUUAUAGUUUAAACAAUAGAAUCAAACCAUUUUGACUCAAGACAAUGACAAAGCUUUACAAUGGCACCUGUGUGUGUGUGUGAUGGUUGCCUUUCUUUCAGCUUUAACUACUUCUUCCCUCUAUUUACUCGUGCCUUCUGAAGCAACAUUUAAAAAUAGUAACAGGGAAAAUAUCUUUUUGAUGAUCAUGUUCUAUCACUUGAAGAUGUUUUACAUUUAAUUUUGUGGAGUACAUCAGCUUUGAAUUGCUGUCCAUCGUUUUAUGGAAUAGGCUGUGCAGCUCAUUUGUUAUUUGUGAGAGUUUCCUUGACCAACGCCGCAAUGUCUCAGACAUUCCUGCGGUUCAUAUGAUGCUUGAAAUGGGGCAGGAGGUCUUGGGGAAGUAGCCAUAACCCCCAGGGAAGCUGGUUCUGUUG
rnacentral:lncRNA from 1 species